rnacentral:rRNA from 1 species
UACGAAGGGGGCUAGCGUUGUUCGGAAUGACUGGGCGUAAAGGGAGCGUAGGCGGUAAGUUACGUUUGAUGUGAAAGCCCUGGGCUUAACCUGGGAACUGCAUUGAAUACGGACUUACUAGAGUGAAAGAGGGGAAGAUGGAAUUGCGUGUGUAGAGGUGAAAUUCGUAGAUAUACGCAAGAACACCGAUGGCGAAGGCAGUCUUCUGGCUUUUAACUGACGCUAAGGCUCGAAAGCGUGGGGAGCAAACAGGAUUAGAUACCCUGGUAGUCCACGCUGUAAACGAUGAGUGCUAGAUGUCGGGAGUAAUCUCGGUGUCGUCGCUAACGCAUGAAGCACUCCGCCUGGGGAGUACGGUCGCAAGAUUAAA